rnacentral:rRNA from 1 species
UACAGAGGUCUCAAGCGUUGUUCGGAUUCAUUGGGCGUAAAGGGUGCGUAGGUGGCGCCGUAAGUCGGGUGUGAAAUUCGGAGCUUAACUCCGAAACUGCAUUCGAUACUGCGGUGCUUGAGGACUGGAGAGGAGACUGGAAUUCAUGGUGAGCAGUGAAAUGCGUAGAGAUCAUGAGGAAGACCAGUGGCGAAGGCGGUCUCUGGACA